GUGGGCCUAUCGCGUGGCUCCGCCCCCGCCGGCGGCGCGCGCUCCGGGAGGGGGCGGGGCUCUGUCCCACGGUGCCGCGCAGGCGGGAGGAGCGGCCCGGUACGGCAAGGCCAGGUUCGGUUCGGUUCGGUACAGAUGGUACUCGCAUGACACACGGCGGCUUCCAGCCUGCACCGCAGAUAUGGAUUGAACUUUAGUCUCUGAGCAAUUAAGGUGCCUGAAACUGCACUUCAUUAAUGGUUGUUAUGCAAUAAAACCGAUAAAACUGC